GGACCCGUGGCCUAGCCAGGAUCUAAGGCACCGAGCCAAAUAAGCCGGGGAUCCCGGGUUCAAAUCCCGGCGGGUCCGCCA
rnacentral:tRNA from 1 species